rnacentral:rRNA from 1 species
AGCGAACGCUGGCGGCAGGCCUAACACAUGCAAGUCGAACGGAUCCUUCGGGAUUAGUGACGGACGGGUGAGUAACACGUGGGAACGUGCCCUUUGGUUCGGAACAACUCAGGGAAACUUGAGCUAAUACCGGAUGUGCCCUUCGGGGGAAAGAUUUAUCGCCAUUGGAGCGGCCCGCGUCUGAUUAGCUAGUUGGUGAGGUAAAGGCUCACCAAGGCGACGAUCAGUAGCUGGUCUGAGAGGAUGAUCAGCCACAUUGGGACUGAGACACGGCCCAAACUCCUACGGGAGGCAGCAGUGGGGAAUCUUGCGCAAUGGGCGAAAGCCUGACGCAGCCAUGCCGCGUGAAUGAUGAAGGUCUUAGGAUUGUAAAAAUCUUUCACCGGGGACGAUAAUGACGGUACCCGGAGAAGAAGCCCCGGCUAACUUCGUGCCAGCAGCCGCCGCGGUAA